AAUUGUUGGAUUUUAGAAAAAUGGGUCCUAUCACCAGCAGUAUUUUGUAAUGCAGGCACCUCAGUUUGUCUUCACAAAUGGACUAAAAAUAACAAAUCAUAACUGGGAGAAGCGCACACAUCUCUGCUAUAGCUGGGACAUAAACUAUAUUUCAAACCAAGGGCCAGUUCAAGACUACAUUCUUUCCACUGCUAGGAAUCUAAAAUUCACAAGUUGAUCACAGAGAAUGUUGUCUAUAAAUCCAAAUCAAGUCUCUAGAUUUCACAUAAUAACACAUCACAUUCAUUAUUGAUGACUCUCCUUUUAUUUUUUAGUAUGUUCCAUAACUCCUGUCCCCAGAUACAACUACACCCUCAUCCAGCGCACAUGGAUGGACUGCUGAGCUAAAGCUCCGCUUAACUUGAUAUCUGACAUAUCUUCUGUUGCAUUUAGUUACUGGUCCUUUAAGCUACUUUUGCAAAAAUGAGGAAAAGAAACACCAGACACAAGACCUGCUUAGGCUAUGGACUAGCAGCUUUUAUCACUGCCAGAAUGCCUUGGAUUUACAUAUUCACCUAUGAAGAGAUAAGAAAGGACAGACCAACCAGUGACCCAGCAGCUGUUUAGCAAGAGGCAUGCGCAGUGUGUACCUGUGCAUGCGGGACAAGGUAUUCAAACUGAUGAUGGAGCUCAAGCAGUUGAAUUAGUUCUGCAUAUUCUUUUGCUUUUUCUACAUUCAACUGAAUGAACUUAUCUGGAUCUU